rnacentral:rRNA from 1 species
GAUGAACGCUGGCGGCGUACUUAACACAUGCAAGUCGAACGAUUAAAGCCCCUUCGGGGGUGUAUAGAGUGGCGAACGGGUGAGUAACACGUGGGCAAUCUGCCCCUCACUUCGGGAUAACUCAGGGAAACUUGAGCUAAUACCGAAUACUCCGGGAUGGUCGCAUGGUCGACCCGGGAAAGCUCCGACGGUGAGGGAUGAGCCCGCGGCCCAUUAGCUUGUUGGUGAGGUAACGGCUUACCAUGGCAACGAUAGGUAGGGGUCCUGAGAGGGAGAUCCCCCACACUGGUACUGAGACACGGACCAGACUCCUACGGGAGGCAGCAGUGAGGAAUAUUGGACAAUGGGCGCAAGCCUGAUCCAGCCAUGCCGCGUGCAGGAAGAAGCAUCUAUGGUGUGUAAACUGCUUUUGUACGGGAAGAAACACUCCUUCGUGAAGGAGCUUGACGGUACCGUAAGAAUAAGGAUCGGCUAACUCCGUGCCAGCAGCCGCCGUAAGAC